rnacentral:lncRNA from 1 species
AAUACAUCAUUACAGUUUUUGGUUAGAUACCUUGCAAAUCUUAGCCAUUGACAUAAAAAAAAAAUCAGUCAAAACAGGACAUGGUAUCAAGAACUAGAUAAAACUAACUGAAACGAUCCACCUACAAUUCCCCACGGCAUCUUGUCAUUGUUGCUAGCUGACCAUUCAGAAUUACAAAGCAAGGCUUCCUCCCCCAUCAAUGCACAUGCAUCAUUUUUGUGACGUUGUCAGCCAACCCGUCUAUAAAACAAAAUGUUACUUCAAUACAAAAGCAAGCUCACAAUAGCCUAACAUUUUCAGGUGAUUCUAGCAGUGACCUCCAGGUUGGUGAUGAGGUUAACAGCACUAAUCUGGAGGAUGUGGGUAUUACGUACGCCUCUUGGAGAGGGAACGCAGCACCCUGCUACAACUCAACUCCCCGUGGAGUGAAAGAGGUAUGGGAUUGUAGGUGCAAGUAAGGAUGACAAAAGCAGAGAAUUUACCAUUUACUGGUUAUUUAUUUACAUGGUAAAUUUGAAGAAAAGGGGCUGGAUGGAACCAAAGCAAAGAAAGUAAAUGUCAAAGCCCUCUCUCCUACCUUACCUGCCUACCCACUACUUACCUAACUUAGCACCACCUGGUGCACCAACCAAAAUACAUGGGGGUGUUCCACCCAGGUCCUACCUAGUGUGCAGACAGUAAAUACUACGGGUUAUUUACGCCCACAGGCCUCUUGCCUAAGCACUCCCUGGUGCCUUCCCCUUCCCCCCCGGGAACAAAUGAAACAGAAUAAUCCAAACGUAAGUAAACAAUUUCAAUAAUCAAACAGUCCUUUGGACAUAAACAUACCUCCGCAGGACCUGCUACAAACAACUUCACCAACAAAAAAAAACCAGAGAAACAACUAACACAGGACAUCAAAGACGCUCUCGCUGUCUGAGAAACAAACUAACACAGAACAUAAUAAUCAGCUCUCUGAGAACAAAGGAACAUUGGCUUUGCUAGCUUCAGAAGGAGUCUGUAAUGGGAUACAGCUGUAUCUGACGAGAGGGCGGGGUCAGCUCCAAUUAGCAAUGGGGCCGACCAAUCAGCUGCUUGGGGGAAUUUCAGGAAUCCAUCCUGAAACACACAUAUACAAACAAAACCACAACACAGAAACUGGGGAACGUAACAGUGGGGGUGAGGUUAACUGUACUAAUCUGGAGGAAGUGGGGGGUGAGGUUAACUGUACUAAUCUGGAGGAAGUGGGGGGUGAGGUUAACUGUACUAAUCUGGAGGAAGUGGGGGGUGAGGUUAACUGUACUAAUCUGGAGGAAGUGGGGGUGAGGUUAACGGUACUAAUCUGGAGGAAGUGGGAGUGAGGUUAACCGUACUAACAUGGAGGAAGUGGGGGUGAGUUUAACCGUACUAAUCUGGAGGAAGUGGGGGUGAGGUUAACCGUACUAACAUGGAGGAAGUGGGGGUGAGGUUAACAAUGCUAAUCUGGAGGAAGUGGGGGUGAGGUUAACAAUGCUAACAUGGAGGAAGUGGGGGUGAGGUUAACAAUGCUAAUCUGGAGGAAGUGGGGGUGAGGUUAACAAUGCUAACAUGGAGGAAGUGGGGGUGAGGUUAACAAUGCUAAUCUGGAGGAAGUGGGGUUCUCCUAGAUCUAAGAUUAAAGGGGCAGUUCAGUAUUUUACAACAUAUAAUGUUAGAUGGUUCCUCAACCUGAACAUAGUCUAACAUUAUGUUGUAAAAUACUGCUCCUUUAAAAUAUACUUUUUAUAAACCCCCUGUGUGUACCACCGGGUAUAAAUUAUUCAAAACAAAUAAUGGCUCUAUAUUCAUAUAAUACAUUAUUCCUCACAGGUGGAAAGUGUUUCCUAGAUGACUAACAUUAUUACAUUUUCGGUGAGUCACUACUACUUCACUGACUCACAUCAAUGUGGUUUGAAUGAUUGAGCCAGUGCAAAACCCACUACUGUGAGGCCAGAGAGAGGAGCCUCAUGGGGAUUAUGAGUCUGUGACACUGAUUAAGUUACCUGACAGACAGGUACGUGAUCUCUAGACUGCAUCACCACGGCCGUUUUCUAGUUCUAUCUAUGCUAUGAGAUGAAGACACACGCAUACUCACACACACACACAUUCUCUGCGUGGCAAUUCAGCUCCGCCAUUACUGGGGUAAUGAAGUCUGAAUAUAGACGGAGGCUAAGUGUCAUGUGCCGUCUGCGAAACUGAUAAGAAAGUAAAGGGAAAGGGGGAUACCUAGUCAGUUGUACAACUGAAUGCAUUCAACUAAAAUGUGUCUUCCGCAAAAUUACGGUAGCUUUACCAGAAAACCCGGUUGAAGGAUUCUCAGACUUCCUGCUUAUUCCCUCCUGAUUCCGGGAAUCUUCCAACUGUGAUUUCUGGAAAACUAGGGAAUUUGGGGAAAGUUACUGGAAUUUUGCAAACCUAGGCAUGGGGCAUUGUGCCACCAGAAGAUCUAUGGUGGCAAAGCCUCAGUUGGCUGUGAUCUACUGCAACGUGCCUUCAAUUUACCUGCACGGGAGACAACUCAUCUUCGGAGGGGAGUAGGGGAUUUGGAAUAUCAAAAGGCCAGCGAGGUUGGGAUUUGUUGGGGACUGAAUGGAAGACCUUUGAGGGAGGAAAUACGCUGCUGUUUAGGAAGAAUGUUGAUAGACCUUUGUUGUUUGGGGAGGAUGCGAUGCUCUAUACAUUGAAUCAUAGUCAAUGGCAUUGCAUACUUGAUGAACCUAAAAUACUGUACUGUAUGUUAACAAGCUCCUAAGCAGUCGUAAUCACGUAUAUAAACAAGACAACUGAUGUUUCCCGUUAACUGGAAAAAACAUCAAAAACCAAUAACGAGCAUGUUGGUGACAUAUCUGGUUACAUAUCAGACAUUCCUUAACAGUGAUUAGAAACUGGGUGGUUCGAGCCCUGAAUGCUGAUUGGCUGACAGCCGUGGUAUAUCAGACCUUAUACCACGACUAUGACAAAAUAUUGAUUUUUACUGCUCUAAUUACGUUGGUAACCAGUUUGUAAUAGCAAUAAGGCACCUUGGAGGUUUAUGGAAUAUGGUCAAUAUACCACGGCUAAGGGCUGUGUCCAGCCACUCCGAGAUGAGUCGUGCAUAAGAACAGCCCUUAGCCGUGGUAUAUUGGCCAUAUACCACACCCCCUCGUGCCAUAUUGCUUAAAUAUAACAAAUGCUUCUGUUUAUAUUUGAGAACCAGGUCCAAGGUCAAUAAAUACUGCGUAUGAUACAUUACACCGUACCUUCUCGCUUAUUACAUAGGGCUUUUAGUGAAUGCCACUCUAGUUGGAAUAUAAAACAAAGUAUUUGACUAUUUACUCAUACAGGGGGUUUAGUCCAAGAAGACAGACAGUUGGAGGUUAUGUAAAUGACUGGAGUCUAACUGGGCUCCCAGGAACUGGCUGCCAACAGAACAUAUGCCAACCGCACAUUGAUUUUCUAAAUCCAAUUGAAGUGAAAGCCCAGCAACACUCAUUAGCAUUAUGCUAGAAGUGUUGCCUUAUGGAAGCAGGAUUGAUUCUCACAACAAUAUAUAUAAGUACAAUAUCAGUCAAAAGUUUGGACAAACCUACUAAUUAAUUAAUUUUUACUAUUUUCUAAAUUGUAAAAGUAGUGAAGACAUCAAAACUAUAAAAUAACUCAUAUGGAACCAUCUAGUAACCAAAAAAGGGUUAAACAAAUGCAAACAUAUUUCAGAUUCUUCAAAGUAGCCCCCCUUUGCCUUGAUGACAGCUUUUCACACUCUAGGCAUUCUCUCAACCAGCUUCAUGAGGAAUGCUUUUCCAACAGUCUUGAAAGAGUUCCCACAUAUGCUGAGCACUUGUUGGCUGCUUUUCCUUCACUCUGCAGUCCAACUCAUCUCAAACCAUCUCUGGGUUGAAGUCAGGUGAUUUGUGGAAGCCAAGUCAUCUGAUGCAGCACUCCAUCACUCUCCUUGGUCAAAUAGCCCUUGCACAGCCUGGAGGUGUGUUGGGUCAUUGUCCUGUUGAAAAACAAAUGAUAGUCCCCCAGAUAGGAUAGCGUAUCGCUGCAGAAUGCUGUGGUAGCCCUGCUGGUUGAGUGAGCCUUGAAUUAUAAAUAAAUCACCGACAGUGUCACCAGCAAAGCACCCCAACACCUCCUCUUCCAUGCUUCAUGGUGGGAACCACACAUGCGGAGAUCAUCCGUUCACUUACUCUGCGUCUCACAAAGACACGGCUGUUCGGACCAAAAAUCUCAAAUUUGGACUCAUCAGACCAAAGGACAGAUUUCCACCGGUCUAAUGUCCAUUACUCGUGUUUCUUGGCCCAAGCAAGUCUCUUCUUCUUAUCGGUGUCCUUUAGUAGUGGUUUCUUUGCAGCAAUGCGACCAUGAAGGCCUGAUUCACGCAGUCUCCUCUGAACAGUUGAUGUUGAGAUGUGUCUGUUACUUGAACUCUGAAGUAUUUAUUUGGGCUGCAAUUUCUGAGGCUGGUAACUCUAAUGAACUUAUUCUCUGCAGCAGAAGUAGCUCUGGGUCUUCCUUUCCUGUGGCGGUCCUCAUGAGAGCCAGUUUCAUCAUAGCGCUUGAUGGUUUUUGCGACUGCACUUGAAGAAACGUUCAAAGUUUUUGACAUUUUCCGGAUUGACUGACCUUCAUGUCUUAAAGUAAUGAUGGACUGUCGUUUCUCUUUGCUUGUUUGAGCUGGUCUUCCCAUAAUAAGGACUUGGUCUUUUACCAAAUAGGGCUAUCUUCUGUAUACCACCCCUACCUUGUCACAACACAACUGAUUGGCUCAAACAGAUUAAGAAGGAAAUAAAUUCCACAAAUUAACUUUUAACUUUUUUAAGGGGUCACCUGUUAACUGAAAUGCAUUCCAUAAAAGAUCAUCAUCGGGUUUGGAGCGGGUAGUCGCACUUCGCUUUGCUCCACAGGUAAUAUUACAUUUCAUUACAUUACAACGGUUUGAUUUGUUUGAUCUGAGCAAUUUUUUCUUAGCUAGCUACAUAGCCGUCUUUGUAUCAAAGAUAAUUGUGUAGUUUAGAGUAAUUAUCGAGGUUAGCUAGCCAGCCGCGACGCGACGCCGUUGUCCAGACUCCAGACUUAGUCAACACACCUAGUCAUCAUCAAACCCACUGCUAGCUAGCCAACCUUUACUGACUAGCAGCACUGUAGAAACUAUUACAUUACAACGGAACGACUUGAUUAGUGCUAGCUAGCUACAUAGCUGUCUUUGCUGUUUUUGUAUCUAAGAUAAUUGUGUAGUUUAGAGUAAUUAUCGAGGUUAGCUAGCCAGCCGCGACGCCGUUGUCCAGACUCCAGACUUAGUCAACACACCUAGUCAUCGUCAAACCCACUGCUAGCUAGCCAACCUUUACUGACUAGCAGCACUAUAGAAACUAAUACAUUACAACGGAACGAUUUGACUAGUGCAGUGUUAGUUGUCUUUGUCAUAGUUUGAUAAUUGUGUAGUUUAGAGUAAUUAUCGAGGUUAGCUAGCCAGCUAUUUUCAUCCCCCGCGACGCCAUUUUUCCAAACCUAGCCAACUAUUACCGACGAGCAGAAUUGUAGAAACUAAAUACAUUACAAAGGAAUGUCUUGAUUAGUGCUAUGUUAGCUAGCUACAUAGUUGCUUUUGUAUCAUAAGGUGUAGUACUGAAACUAUCGAGGUUACCUAGCCAGCUACACGUUCAAACAAAGUCAACAACGCAGCCACUGCUAGCUAGCCUACUUCACCAGCCAGCAGUACUGUAUCAUCUUCGUCAUUUUAGUCAAUAAAAUUUUUGCAACGUAAGCUUAACUUUCUGAACAUUCGAGAAUUGUAGUCCACUUGUCAUUCCAAUCUCCUUUGCAUUAGCGUAGCCUCUUCUGUAGCCUGUCAACUAUGUGUCUGUCUAUCCCUGUUCUCUCCCCUGUGCACAGGCCACACAAACGCUCCACACCGCGUGGCCGCUGCCACUCUAACCUGGUGGUCCCAGCGCGCACGACCCACGUGGCGUUCCAGGUCUCCGGCAGCCUCUGGAACUGCCGGUCUGCGGCCAACAAGGCAGAGUUCAUCUCAGCCUAUGCUACCCUCUAGCACCUCGACUUCUUGGCACUGACGGAAACAUGGAUUACCACAGAUAACACUGCUACUCCUACUGCUCUCUCCUCGUCUGCCCACGUGUUCUCGCAUACCCCGAGAGCAUCUGGCCAGCGCGGUGGUGGCACUGGAAUCCUCAUCUCUCCCAAGUGGACAUUCUCUCUUUCUCCCCUGACCCAUCUGUCUAUCUCCUCAUUUGAAUUCCAUGCUGUCACAGUUACCAGCCCUUUCAAGCUUAACAUCCUUAUCAUUUAUCGCCCUCCAGGUUCCCUUGGAGAGUUCAUCAAUGAGCUUGACGUCUUGAUAAGUUCCUUUCCUGAGGAUGGCUCACCUCUCACAGUUCUGGGUGACUUUAACCUCCCCACGUCUACCUUUGACUCAUUCCUCUCUGCCUCCUUCUUUCCACUCCUCUCCUCUUUUGACCUCACCCUCUCACCUUCCCCCCCUACUCACAAGGCAGGCAAUACGCUUGACCUCAUCUUUACUAGAUGCUGUUCGUCCACUAAUCUCAUUGCAACUCCCCUCCAAGUCUCCGACCACUACCUUGUAUCCUUUUCCCUCUCGCUCUCAUCCAACACUUCUCACUCUGCCCCUACUCGGAUGGUAUUGUGCCGUCUCAACCUUCGCUCUCUCUCUCCCACUACUCUCUCCUCUUCCAUCCUAUCAUCUCUUCCCUCUGCUCAAACCUUCUCCAACCUAUCCCCUGAUUCUGCCUCCUCAACCCUCCUCUCCUCCCUUUCUGCAUCCUUUGAUUCUCUAUGUCCCCUAUCCUCCAGGCCGGCUCGGUCCUCCCCUCCUGCUCCGUGGCUCGACGACUCAUUGCGAGCUCACAGAACAGGGCUCCGGGCAGCCGAGCAGAAAUGGAGGAAAACUCGC